UAUUUUUCUCUUGCUAAUUCCCCCUUAUCAGGUUAUUUGGGGUCCCACAUACGGCCCAGGAUAAGAGAAGAAGUGCUUUCUCCAUGCAAGCUUUUAUGAGGCCACCAUAGCAGAAAUGAACUUCCUACCAAUCAAAAGAAAUACCUAACUCAAAAAGGAAAAUCACUACAGAUGUUUAAGACUAAGAAAGGAGCCUUAUACUCAUUCUCUCCGUGUCCAGCCUCCAGUCAGGGCAGAUGUUCAUCUAUGGCACUGACCAGAAAAGUUUUUCUGCCGGAUUUCCAAAAUGGGAAAAGACUAAGCCCAUCAGUCCAGAGAAACUACAGAACCACAGUGCAGUCACGUACAGCAAGCAAGGAUCUGCAGAAAAUAACUAUCCUGAAGCAGGUGUGUUUUGCUAAAAAUGAAAAUAAAAAUAAACUAG
rnacentral:lncRNA from 1 species